rnacentral:rRNA from 1 species
CCUACGGGCGGCUGCAGUGAGGAAUAUUGGGCAAUGGGCGAAAGCCUGACCCAGCCACGCCGCGUGAGUGAUGAAGGCCUUCGGGUCGUAAAGCUCUGUGGAGAGGGACGAAAACCCUGGUUUCAAAUAGGCUCCAGGCUUGACGGUACCUCUUUAGCAAGCACCGGCUAACUCUGUGCCAGCAGCCGCGGUAAUACAGAGGGUGCAAACGUUGCUCGGAUUUACUGGGCGUAAAGCGCGUGUAGGCGGGUUCGCAAGUCGGACGUGAAAUCCCUGGGCUCAACCCAGGAACUGCGUUCGAAACUGCGAAUCUAGAGUAGUGGAGAGGAAAGUAGAAUUCCCGGUGUAGAGGUGAAAUUCGUAGAUAUCGGGAGGAAUACCAGUGGCGAAGGCGGCUUUCUGGACACUUACUGACGCUGAGACGCGAAAGCGUGGGGAGCAAACAGGAUUAGAUACCCCAGUAGUC